rnacentral:rRNA from 1 species
AUUGAACGCUGGCGGCAUGCCUUACACAUGCAAGUCGAACGGCAGCACGGGAGCAAUCCUGGUGGCGAGUGGCGAACGGGUGAGUAAUGUAUCGGAACGUGCCCAGUCGUGGGGGAUAACGUAGCGAAAGCUACGCUAAUACCGCAUACGGUCUAUGGAUGAAAGCGGGGGACCGCAAGACCUCGCGCGAUUGGAGCGGCCGAUAUCAGAUUAGGUAGUUGGUGGGGUAAAGGCUCACCAAGCCGACGAUCUGUAGCUGGUCUGAGAGGACGACCAGCCACACUGGGACUGAGACACGGCCCAGACUCCUACGGGAGGCAGCAGUGGGGAAUUUUGGACAAUGGGCGAAAGCCUGAUCCAGCAAUGCCGCGUGCAGGAUGAAGGCCUUCGGGUUGUAAACUGCUUUUGUACGGAACGAAACGGCGAACUCUAAUACAGUUUGCUAAUGACGGUACCGUAAGAAUAAGCACCGGCUAACUACGUGCCAGCAGCCGCCGUAA